CCCUUAGAUGUUCUGGGCUGCACGCGCGCUACACUGAUGCACUCAACGAGUUUACGACCUUGCCCGAUAGGGUUGGGUAAUCUUUUUAAAAUGCGUCGUGAUGGGGAUAGAUUAUUGCAAUUAUUAAUCUUCAACGAGGAAUUCCUAGUAAGCGCGAGUCAUCAGCUCGUGCUGAUUACGUCCCUGCCCUUUGUACACACCGCCCGUCGCUCCUACCGAUUGAGUGCUCAGGUGAAUAAUUCGGACUGCAGCAAUGUUUGGAUCCCGAACGUUGCAGCGGAAAGUUUAGUGAACCUUAUCACUUAGAGGAAGGAGAAGUCGUAACA
rnacentral:rRNA from 1 species